GUGACUAUUCUGUUGGGGCAAAAAUGAUUAUCUGCUUGUGGCUUCGUCUAGGCUUUCCACAUAAUCGCCUUCUUUUACCUCUGUUGGCCUUCUACUGCCAUUGUUUCAACCGCAAUGCCGAGUGUGAACCAAAUUCUCUUUUGAUGGUGACAACUACCCAAACUCGCUGAUUCUAUUUACACACGGUGGAAGCUCCAUCGAUCCCCCCAAAAAAGGGCUCACAGUCAGCCCUUCUUAUCACUUAUCCUGUCAUGCAUCCACAACUUUGCUCGCCACAGGUUUGGGUGCAUAUUUAUUUUGGAUUUGUCAUAAUUCCAAAUUUGCAAUUCCAGAAUGAGAUUUGCGAUUUUAUUGGAACAUAAAUUUCUAUUUGGUCGCGCAGUAGUUGAAUUCAAUUUGAGAUAUGAUGUAUGAUUGUGUUAGUUACUUAAGUUAUACCGUGCAUGUGUACUGUAUCGCUCUGUUUAGAGAUUAAAGCUGGUGGUACAAUUUGUUUGAGGGGAUUGACAAAAUCU